rnacentral:rRNA from 1 species
UACGUAGGGGGCUAGCGUUGUCCGGAAUCAUUGGGCGUAAAGAGCGUGUAGGCGGUCCGGUAAGUCCGUUGUGAAGGUCAGGGGCUCAACCCUUGAAUGCCGGCGGAUACUGUCGGGCUAGAGUCCGGAAGAGGCGAGUGGAAUUCCCGGUGUAGCGGUGAAAUGCGCAGAUAUCGGGAGGAACACCUAUGGCGAAGGCAGCUCGCUGGGACGGCACUGACGCUGAGACGCGAAAGCGUGGGGAGCAAACAGG